rnacentral:lncRNA from 1 species
UUACCACGACGUUUGAAUUUAAUUUUUUUACUUUCUCUACAUUCUUUAUUACUUAAAACAGAAAAAUGAAGGAAAUCAAGAUGAAGAGAAGAAUGAAGAAAAAAAAGAUGAAGAGAAGGAAGAAGAAAAAAAAAAAUGAAGAGAAGAAAGAAGAAAAACAAGAUGAAAAGGAGAAAGAAGAUGAAGAAAAGCAUGACGACCAGGUAUGUUCACAUAACUUUGCCUUUUUUAUUUAUUUUUUAAAAUUCCAGACGUCGAUAUUUUUCUUUAAAC